UAAAAGAUCCCAAAUUUCUUUACCUUUUUCUGUAGCAGAUUUAUCAGUCUGCUGAGUCUGAUUAUCUAAUUUAGUAGAGGAAUCAACAGUCCCCUGAGUCUGUUGGGCUUUUGGUAAGUCCACAACCUUUAACGGAUUUGAUGAGUCUUUACCAGCUACCGUUUGGGCUGGACUAGCUAUGGACUUCUUGGGCUCCAUAGUACCUGUUGGAUAAUGGACUUUUAAAUCCAAAAUUUCUUUUUCUAAUUGGGCCACUUUCUUUUGGAGUUGAGUUCUUUCUAAUGAAAGGUUCUGAUUGGUUUCAUUGAUAACUUUGAAAUUUCUCUGCAUACAUUCACAAUGUUGGCAGAAAAUAUUCUGGUCUUUGCUUGGAGAAAAAUCUAAUGGAGGAUCUGAG
rnacentral:lncRNA from 1 species